UACGUAGGGGGCAAGCGUUAUCCGGAUUUACUGGGUGUAAAGGGAGCGUAGACGGCAGGGCAAGUCUGGAGUGGAAGGCGGGGGCUCAACCCCCGGACUGCUCUGGAAACUGCCAGGCUGGAGUGCAGGAGAGGUAAGUGGAAUUCCUAGUGUAGCGGUGAAAUGCGUAGAUAUUAGGAGGAACACCAGUGGCGAAGGCGGCUUACUGGACUGUAACUGACGUUGAGGCUCGAAAGCGUGGGGAGCAAACAGG
rnacentral:rRNA from 1 species